AGAUCGACGUGUGCUUUAGAAUGCAAGUCGAACGAGAAAGCCCUUCGGGGUGAGUAAAGUGGCGAACGGGUGAGUAACACGUGGGUAACCUGCCCCUCGCAGAGGGAUAACCGGGGGAAACCCCAGCUAAUACCUCGUACGCUUGCCGGGUCGCAUGGCUCGGCAAGGAGAGGUAGCUUCGGCCAUCCGGCGAGGGAUGGGCCCGCGGUCCAUUAGCUAGUUGGUGGGGUAAAGGCCCACCAAGGCGACUAUGGAUAGCUGGUCUGAGAGGAUGAUCAGCCACACUGGGACUGAGACACGGCCCAUGACUCCUACGGGAGGCAGCAGUCGGGAAUCUUGCCCAAUGGGCGAAAAGCCUGACGCAUCAACACCGUGUGGGCGACCAAAGCCUUCGGGCUCCUAAAAGCCCCUGUUGUUGGGACGAAANGACCGAAGGGAUAAUAGCCUCCUA
rnacentral:rRNA from 1 species